rnacentral:lncRNA from 1 species
AAAUGGUUCCCUCCCGCUUUGUGUUACAAAGCAACCAACCGAUACAACCAACGAUAGGUGCUGGGGCAGAAGCAACACAGUCACGUCCAAAAGAAAUAAAAGAGAAAAUACAAAAGUAACAAAUGCCGACAACGGUGGAUUGACAAAAGCGAAGAAGCCUCGCGACCACUGCGUCCACCAGAGAUCUCCCACCAAGCUCUUAGGCUCCGAAGCGCCGGUACCAAUCAACACCUUCAAGAAGGGACACGACGAUGACGACAUUGUUGCCAAGGGUUCCCCCCGGUACACGGUGACGAGAGAGGAAGGGUAGCCACUGACGCCCUCCAGGAAUAUCCGGCGGAACCCUCAAGCGCCACCAUGUCGGUGUCGGCCAGUCCGACAGGGAUUUCCCGAUCCCAACCUUCACCUCGGGCGCUUCGGAGGUCGCCACCAAACCGACACCACCCUGCGCCAACACGGCCUUGAAGCUUGCCCUGCUGUCUCACCACGGCCCGCGACGUAGGACCUGCACAACGAAGAAGAGGAGCCGGGACUCGGAGUAGUAGCACCGUCAGCACGCGGGAGGGCCCAACCUCCACCGUCACCGACGGGAUCCGGCCGGACGCAACAGCAGGAGCAUACCAGGCCCGCUAGGCCCUGAAAUGCCCGUAAAGCUCUCGUCGUCGUGUUGCAAAAGGCAUGCCAUCGGCGUCGCCGCUCCCUGUCUGAGCUGCUCCACCUCUUCACCGCGUCAGAGACAGCGAAGCCACGCCGGCACCGGCCUGCUAGGACCCAGAUGGGCCCCUAAGGGCCCAGAUCUGGGCCGGGGUCGCACCGCCGGCCACACAACGCCACCAGGCCGCCC